rnacentral:lncRNA from 1 species
CCUGCGACGAGGUUGUUGUAGUCGGAAGGAGUUACAGUCAUUGUUGGGGUCGUUGAAUUUUGCCAUGAGAAUCAUCCCGCAGGGCAGGUCUUUUAUUUCUAGGCUUUUAUGUCUAUUACCUAACCUGCCCUCCGAGGACAGCAUAGUUUCUCUGGAUACCCACAGCUGAUUUACGAAUGUGGCAGGAUUUCUUAUUCCAGUGGAAUGGGAAGUCCAUGUUCAUACCUCCACUGUCCCCCAAUUCCCCAAUACUGUGGACAGAUGCAGCAGCUUCUUCUGGUUUCAUGGCCAUCUGUGGUGACCAAUGGUUACGGGGCAGUUGGCCGCCUGAGACCAGAACAUUGGAGGCUUUUGGUCAUACGUCAGCAUUGCUAGAAAUAUACCCUAUCGUGGCAGCAGCAGCAACUUGGGGACACUCCUGGGCGGGACACACGGUCCAUUGUUACUCAGAUAACCAAGCAACAUGCUACAUUAUUAACAAAGGCCGGUCCCCCUCUCUAGUCAUUAGGAGUUUCAUGAGGAGAUUAACUUGGCUCACGGCAACUCAUCAGUUCUUUUUGUAUUGCACACACGUACCAGGUAUUCAGAACGUAGCAGAUGACCAUUUGUCACGAUUUCAGUUUCAGGAAUUUCACCUACUCCAUCCCUAUGCCUCCUUGAUAGCAACUCCGGUCCCCCAGUUACAAGACCUCAUAUUGGAUUGAGUCAACUCCUAGAGCAUGGCAGAUUACUAUCACAGAGAGCUCUGUCCGAAAACACCAGGUGUACAUACAAAAGAGCACUUAAUGUUUUUGUAAAAUUCACAAGGGACUUCUAGGUGGCAGACGUAUUCGCUAUCGAAACUUUGGUAGUAUUUGCCUCUUUUUGCCACUUGAAUUUAAAUCUGUCUUACAAUACAAUAAAACUCUACUUGACCGAGAUCCAGGGCGAAAUACCGUAACUUUGAAUUGAAAACGCACUGCUCCACUUCACAGACCAAUCUAUCGCACUAUACAAGAAAUCCAUCAUGAGGCACCUACUCAACGCUGCUAAAUCCCUGAUUCCAAUGAUGUGGAAAAGCACCCAACCACCCACGAUUGUGCAAUGGCUACAGAAAGUUGAGGAGAUUCACUAAGCAGAAACAAAAUACGCAGACUUACUGGGACGAAGCACACAGAACUCUGGGGGCCAUGGUACAUGUAUCUAACACACCCACAGUCACAGGGAGGAAGGAAGGAGUCGAAAAACAAGAGACAACAGGACACACACGAGCAGCCCAUAACACAAGCAAGACACCCUUUCCUGACCCCCUCCCCCGCCCUCGUGCUACCUCAGAGCUCUUGCGAGCACGACCGGUGCCCACGCAACCUACCCCGGACCCUCUGGGAUGUAAAAACGAGAAAACCGCGAACAAUAACCUAAACACGCAGGGACCGGCAAAAUGGGCAGUGAGGCGGGAGGGAAACUCAACUGGUAAGGGUUGUUACAUAACCUCUAACAUAAUCGAACUGUAGCAGCGCUAACUAAAAGUAGAGGAAGAACGUGACAGGGACAUUUGCCAAAUGAACAAACAAACUAAAACUGGAGACAAACCCUUCACUGAACACACAUACAGGAAUAAGAUCACCCUCACACUAUCAUACACAGGACAUCCUGAACCCUGAAAAGUGGAUAAGACGCGCACAGCUGAGACAGAGACCACGAUAGGUACAACACUCCCCCA